UGGCUCAGUGGUUAAGAGCUUGGCUGUUAACCAAAAGACCAGCAGUUCGAAACUGCU
rnacentral:tRNA from 1 species